rnacentral:rRNA from 1 species
GACGAACGCUGGCGGCGUGCUUAACACAUGCAAGUCGAACGGAAAGGCCCUGCUUUUGCGGGUUGCACGAGUGGCGAACGGGGGAGUAACACAUGAGUAACCUGUACUUGACUUUGUGAUAACAUCAGGAAAAAGGGGCUAAAACCCGGUAGGAGAUCCUGAUGCACGGUGGGGGAUGGAAAGAUUCGGUGGUUUUGGCUGGACUCGCGGCUUCUGAGCUGGAUGGUGGGGUUGUGGAUUACAAAGGCUUUGACGGGUAGCCGGCCUUAGAGGGUGACCGGCCACCUUGGGCCUGCGAGACGCCCCAGUCUCCUAUGGUAGGCAGCAGUCGGGAAUAUUGCACAAUGGGCCGACGCCUGUUGCAGCAACCCCCCGUUCGUAAUGACGGCCUUCGGGUUGUAAACCGCUUUCGAAUGUGACGAAGAGUUAUUGACGGUAAUGGGUAAAAAAGCACCGGCUAACUACGUG